GAUGAACGCUGGCGGCGUGCCUAAUACAUGCAAGUCGAGCGAACAGACGAGGAGCUUGCUCCUCUGACGUUAGCGGCGGACGGGUGAGUAACACGUGGAUAACCUACCUAUAAGACUGGGAUAACUUCGGGAAACCGGAGCUAAUACCGGAUAAUAUAUUGAACCGCAUGGUUCAAUAGUGAAAGACGGUUUUGCUGUCACUUAUAGAUGGAUCCGCGCCGCAUUAGCUAGUUGGUAAGGUAACGGCUUACCAAGGCAACGAUGCGUAGCCGACCUGAGAGGGUGAUCGGCCACACUGGAACUGAGACACGGUCCAGACUCCUACGGGAGGCAGCAGUAGGGAAUAUUCCGCAAUGGGCGAAAGCCUGACGGAGCAACGCCGCGUGAGUGAUGAAGGUCUUCGGAUCGUAAAACUCUGUUAUUAGGGAAGAACAAAUGUGUAAGUAACUAUGCCCGUCUUGACGGUACCUAAUCAGAAAGCCACGGCUAACUACGUG
rnacentral:rRNA from 1 species